CCUUAAGAGCCCACAACUGUAAAUGUAUAUUAGGGGAGAUUUAAAACUAUACGGACACCUUUUGUUCAGCUGCCUCUGGGUCUCUUUGACCCCUCCAUACUCUUCUUCAGGAAGAGCUUGCUUACAAGGUGUGCCCAGAAAUUCUCAUUCCCACAGACACUGGCCAGGAUGGUGGAAUCUGUUUUGAGAGGGCAGCCAUCCUCAUGUGACAUCACAGAGCUGCCCCUGGGGUUGGGGAGAUGAUGGCUCCAUCUGUAGAAUGCCUGCUGCCCAAGCAUGGAGCUCUGAGUUUGAUCCUUCACACCUAUGUGAAAGUCAGGCCACUUGGCACAUCUGUAACCCCAUGUGCUGAGGCUAGGGGACAGAGACCGGUGGGUCCCUGAAGCCCUUUGAACAUCCACCCUAGCUGAAUUGAUCAGCUCCAGGCUCAGUGAGAGACUUUAUCCCAUGCAACAUGUAGAAAAUAGCAUCACUUGGUUACUUCAUGCGAGUUGUUGUUGCCUCAUCUUCCUGGGAAUCCAGUAAAGACUCGAGCACAUGCCAUCUGGCUCAUGAAAAGGUCCCGUUAGCGUGGUUCUGAUCGCUUAUUUACUUGAAGCUACUCAGGCUACACCCAGACAUGGGUUUGUUGAAGCCACAUGCUAACGAGGCAUUGGCCAGCAGGGUGUGUCCAAAGCAAAAGAGGCGGGUGGAAGCCAAGUGGCCUGGAUGCUGCUGCCUCGUGAAGAACAGCUGACAGGCUGUGUGCAUUGCAGAAGGAAGCCCGGGGAGAGACAGCAGACUCUGUGUACUUCAGAUUCGACAUCUAGAGAAUGGGCGUGCCUCCUCUGAGGGCCCUCCAGGCUGCUGAGGAGGACGUGACCCACUCAGAGUACAGUGAGCCCCUGUCACGCAGAGAUCCAGGUUAGAAGAUCCCCUGGUCUUCUGGUUACCCUGCUCAUCACACUGGAUUCAGGACUUCUGGCUUCACCUUUGGAAAAUCACCCAAAAUAUGGGGGGUUAUAAUAAAAGCUCUCCAAACAGUCAAA